rnacentral:lncRNA from 1 species
ACAGAAACUAGAGAAUAAAUUAGAGUAAAGUGGUAUUUAGAAGAGGGAUAAUCUAUCAUGAAUAGAGGCAAGGGAAACAUCAAACAAGUCUUUCAGGAUGUUUCAUUCACAUGCUCUCUGUUGGGGAUUUUUAAUGUAAAGUUAAGGGCAUCCAGUUAUAUCUGCAUACCUUGUGGUGAGGAUUCAGUCAUGUCUUUUGUCCACGAGUUCGGAUAUCUCCCAAAGACUAGUCACAAUUGCAUUUGCAUCCAUGUAUUUACUAGUCAUUGGUUUGGAUAUUGCCAUCAGACUCUGUCUGUGUUAACCUUUAG